rnacentral:tRNA from 1 species
CAGGAGAUAGUUUAAUAAAAAUGUUAGUUUUGGGGACUAGUGAUAAGAGUUUGAUCUCUUUCUUUUGA